CAGUCGCCACGGUAAAACGGAGGGUGCAAGCGUUAAUCGGAAUUACUGGGCGUAAAGCGCACGCAGGCGGUCUGACAAGUCAGAUGUGAAAUCCCCGGGCUUAACCUGGGAACUGCAUUUGAAACUGUCAGGCUGGAGUCUUGUAGAGGGGGGUGGAAUUCCAGGUGUAGCGGUGAAAUGCGUAGAGAUCUGGAGGAAUACCGGUGGCGAAGGCGGCCCCCUGGACAAAGACUGACGCUCAGGUGCGAAAGCGUGGGGAGCAAACAGGAUUAGAUACCCGCGUAGUCCCUGUCUCUUAUAA
rnacentral:rRNA from 1 species